CUGCCCCUACGGGACGCAGCAGUGAGGAAUAUUGCGCAAUGGAUGAAAGUCUGACGCAGCGACGCCGCGUGAGGGAUGAAGGUUUUCGGAUCGUAAACCUCUGUCAGGAGGGAAGAAAGCGCAUGGCGCCAAUCAGCCAUGCGUUGACGGUACCUCCAAAGGAAGCGCCGGCUAACUCCGUGCCAGCAGCCGCGGCAAUACGGAGGGCGCGAGCGUUAAUCGGAAUUACUGGGCGUAAAGCGCGCGUAGGCUGUUGUGUAAGUUGGGGGUGAAAUCCCACGGCUCAACCGUGGAACAGCCCUUGA
rnacentral:rRNA from 1 species